rnacentral:rRNA from 1 species
CGUGUAGGCGGUGCGAUAAGUCGGGCGUGAAAUCCCCGGGCUUAACCCGGGGCGGUCGCUCGAAACUGUCGUGCUCGAGGGUGGGAAAGGGAAGUGGAAUUCCCGGUGUAGCGGUGAGAUGCGUAGAUAUCGGGAGGAACACCUGCGGCGAAGGCGGCUUCCUGGACCAUUACUGACGCUGAGGCGCGAAAGCUAGGGGAGCAAACAGGAUUAGAUACCCUGGUAGUCCUGGCCCUAAACGUUGAGCACUGGAUGUAGCCCUUCACCGGGCUGUGUCGAAGCUAACGCAUUAAGUGCUCCGCCUGGGGAGUACGGUCGCAAGGCUGAA